AUGUCUGUGUGUGUGUGUGUGUGUGGGGGGGGGGGGGGGUCGGGUGCUGGUCUUGCCCAGAAAGACAUAAAUAAAAAUCACCCACCACUGGUGAUUUGGCCUGCCAAAAAAGGAUAUUGCUCCUGUUGCUCCUGUUGCUCCUGUUGCUCCUGUUGCUCCUAUUGCUCCUGUUGCUCCUGUUGCUCCUGUUGCUCCUAUUGCUCCUGUUGCUUCUGUUGCUCCUGUUGCUCCUGUUGCUUCUGUUGCUCCUGUUGCUUCUGUUGCUCCUGUUGCUCCUAUUGCUCCUGUUGCUUCUGUUGCUCCUGUUGCUUCUGUUGCUCAUGUUGCUCAUGUUGCUCCUGUUGCUCAUGUUGCUCAUGUUGCUCCUGUUGCUCCUGUUGCUCCUAUUGCUCCUGUUGCUCCUAUUGCUUAUGUUGCUUCUGUUGCUCCUGUUGCUCCUGUUGCUCCUAUUGCUCCUGUUGCUUCUGUUACUCCUGUUGCUCCUGUUGCUUCUGUUGCUCCUGUUGCUUCUGUUGCUCCUGUUGCUUCUGUUGCUCCUGUUGCUCCUAUUGCUCCUGUUGCUCCUGUUGCUCCUGUUGCUUCUGUUGCUCCUGUUGCUCCUGUUGCUCCUAUUGCUCCUGUUGCUUCUGUUGCUCCUGUUGCUUCUGUUGCUCCUGUUGCUCCUGUUGCUCAUGUUGCUCAUGUUGCUCAUGUUGCUCCUGUUGCUUCUAUUGCUCCUAUUGCUCAUGUUGCUUCUGUUGCUCCUAUUGCUCAUGUUGCUUCUGUUGCUCCUGUUGCUCCUAUUGCUCAUGUUGCUUCUGUUGCUUCUGUUGCUCCUGUUGCUUCUGUUGCUCCUGUUGCUCCUGUUGCUCAUGUUGCUCAUGUUGCUCCUGUUGCUCAUGUUGCUCAUGUUGCUCCUGUUGCUUCUGUUGCUCCUAUUGCUCCUGUUGCUUCUAUUGCUCCUAUUGCUCAUGUUGCUUCUGUUGCUCCUAUUGCUCAUGUUGCUUCUGUUGCUCCUGUUGCUCCUAUUGCUCCUGUUGCUUCUGUUGCUCCUAUUGCUCAUGUUGCUUCUGUUGCUCCUGUUGCUUCUGUUGCUCUUGUUGCUCCUGUUGCUCAUGUUGCUUCUGUUGCUCAUGUUGCUCAUGUUGCUUCUGUUGCUCAUGUUGCUUCUGUUGCUCCUGUUGCUCCUGUUGCUUCUGUUGCUCAUGUUGCUCCUGUUGCUGUUGCUGCUGUUGCUCCUGUUGCUUCUGUUGCUCAUGUUGCUUAUGUUGCUCAUGUUGCUUAUGUUGCUUAUGUUGCUUAUGUUGCUUCUGUUGCUCAUGUUGCUCAUGUUGCUUCUGUUGCUCCUGUUGCUCCUGUUGCUUCUGUUGCUCAUGUUGCUCCUGUUGCUGUUGCUGCUGUUGCUCCUAUUGCUCAUGUUGCUUCUGUUGCUCCUAUUGCUCAUGUUGCUUCUGUUGCUCAUGUUGCUGUUGCUCCUGUUGCUCAUGUUGCUUCUGUUGCUCAUGUUGCUCCUGUUGCUUCUGUUGCUCCUAUUGCUCCUAUUGCUCAUGCUGCUUCUGUUGCUCCUAUUGCUCCUGUUGCUUCUGUUGCUUCUGUUGCUCCUGUUGCUGUUGC
ensembl:lncRNA